rnacentral:lncRNA from 1 species
CUCAAUCCAGGGCACUGUCUCUUCCUUCCUAGCAGCUCAGAAAUUGGCGUUUCUUUCUCAGUCUGGGACACUUUUGCUGAAAAUUCCUUCAUGUGACCCCUUUGUUGCUAAGGCUACAAGUUCCCAUCCCGACACACAAAUCUUUUCCACUCCAGGAGCAGCUCAAGUCCUGGGCAGAAGUCAUGACUUAAGAGACUUACUUCAAACUCUUUGGAGUGCCUCCCUGCUAAAUACCUGCUUAAGUCUAGAGGUUCAAAUGAAGUCCUCCCCCCGCCAUCGUGCGUCACCCCCCUCUUCUCUCCCGAGUUUGGAGGACUCUAACCUUGAUUUUCCAGCUUUGAGCUCCCUCUGGAAGCGCAGCAGCAAAACACUAUCAAGAAACUGCCUCCUGGCUAACAUUCUCAGCAAACCCUCAUGGCUAUUUACGGAAAUGAGCAGCCCAACAAGAAAAGUGACUGGAUGGGGUUAGGCAACCUGGGUGCAUUCUUCAAAGCAUUCCAGAGGAGUAAACAAGAGCAAGAGAGAUCAUGAUUCACAGAUCGUUUACACAGACCCGGAGACCAACACGUCUUUGGACUGAAAAAGAGGAGCAAUCUGCAGCCUCCAGCCUCACCCAGUUGUGUUAUCAAUCGCACUUACAAAGGUAAACCUGCUUCUUAGAUGUCACAACACAGUUCCUCC